UUCUAAAGUUAGCUCAGUAGUUGGAGCUUACGCCUGGUGACCGGAAGGUCCUGGUUCGAAUCUCGCCAGACAGAAA
rnacentral:tRNA from 1 species